rnacentral:lncRNA from 1 species
GAGGAAUUCAUGCCUUGCAAAGGGGAGGAGCCUGCCCUCUUGAGCUCUUGUGGUGACCUGGGAAUCAAUGUGUGAGGUGGUGCUAUGUAGCAGGAACCCCUCUUGCUUUGCAAAUAGUUUUUUGUUUGUUUUCCUUUUUGCCCAAUAGAGCCCUGCUCUACUGACCCUUCAAUGUGCCCGUGUGCCUAAAUAUUCCUGGUCGUGUGAAAAGAACCCAGGUAUUAGCUGAACUAAGGAGCACAAUUCUGCAACAUUUUGGCACCCAAACACGGGGCUUGAGAAAUGAAUGCAAUUGGAGAAACUGGUUGUUUUACCAGGCGUUGAUUGGAAAUGUGUGCUUCCCUUUAAGCAGUCAAGCUCAACUUGCAGAACUGAUGGGAACCCCUUGGGAAAACUGGCCUCAAAUGUUUGUCUACACAGUCCACAUACAGGGUUCUUAACCUGCGACUGGAGUGCAAUGGCAUUAUCUCAGCUCACUGCAACAUCCGCCUCCCGUGUUCAAGCAAUUCUCCUGCUUCAGUCUCCGAAGUAGCUGGGAUUACAAUAGACUGGAUUUUAUCAAGGAAUGUAUUUCUUCUAGAAAAUAGAUACACUUUCAAAGAUACGUUAAUUUACAUGAGAGCUUGCCUGUGUGCACAAUAGAAAGCCAAAAAUAAAGAGGUUAUCAUCUAAUGGCACAAAGUUUUCUUA